rnacentral:rRNA from 1 species
UACGGAGGGUGCGAGCGUUAUCCGGAAUUACUGGGCUUAAAGGGUGCGUAGGCGGCCCUGUAAGUCAGGAGUGAAAGUUUGCGGCUCAACCGUAAAAUUGCUUUUGAUACUGCGGGGCUAGAAUUAGGUUGAGGUCAGCGGAAUGUGGCAUGUAGCGGUGAAAUGCAUAGAUAUGCCAUAGAACACCAAUUGCGAAGGCAGCUGGCUAGACCUGGAUUGACGCUGAGGCACGAAAGCGUGGGGAGCGAACAGG